rnacentral:tRNA from 1 species
UCCCUGGUGGUCCAGUGGCUAAGACUCUGUGCUCCCAAUGCAGGGUCCUGGGUUCAGUCCCUGGCCAGGUAA